rnacentral:rRNA from 1 species
CAGAUCUAAGGAAUAGCCACUGGAAACGGUGAGUAAUACCUUAUACGCCCUUCGGGGGAAAGAUUUAUCGGAUUUGGAUCGGCCCGCGUUAGAUUAGGUAGUUGGUGGGGUAAUGGCCUACCAAGCCUACGAUCUAUAGCUGGUUUUAGAGGAUGAUCAGCAACACUGGGACUGAGACACGGCCCAGACUCCUACGGGAGGCAGCAGUGGGGAAUCUUGGACAAUGGGGGCAACCCUGAUCCAGCCAUGCCGCGUGAGUGAUGAAGGCCUUAGGGUCGUAAAGCUCUUUCGCCUGUGAUGAUAAUGACAGUAGCAGGUAAAGAAACCCCGGCUAACUCCGUGCCAGCAGCCGCGGUAAUACGGAGGGGGUUAGCGUUGUUCGGAAUUACUGGGCGUAAAGCGCGCGUAGGCGGAUUAGUCAGUUAGAGGUGAAAUCCCAGGGCUCAACCCUGGAACUGCCUUUAAUACUGCUAGUCUUGAGUUCGAGAGAGGUGAGUGGAAUUCCGAGUGUAGAGGUGAAAUUCGUAGAUAUUCGGAGGAACACCAGUGGCGAAGGCGGCUCACUGGCUCGAUACUGACGCUGAGGUGCGAAAGUGUGGGGA